UAUUACCGCGGCUGCUGGGCGGGGGCACGGGGGGGACUCCUACGGGAGGCAGCAGUAGGGAAUCUUCCGCAAUGGACGAAAGUCUGACGGAGCAACGCCGCGUGAGUGAUGAAGGCUUUCGGGUCGUAAAACUCUGUUGUUAGGGAAGAACAAGUAUGAGAGUAACUGCUCGUACCUUGACGGUACCUAACCAGAAAGCCACGGCUAACUACGUGCCAGCAGCCGCGUAAUA
rnacentral:rRNA from 1 species